rnacentral:misc_RNA from 1 species
GAUGAAGAACGUAGCAAAAUGCGAUACUUGGUGUGAAUUGCAGAAUCCCGUGAACCAUCGAGUUUUUGAACGCAAGUUGCGCCCGAAACCAUCCGGUUGAGGGCACGCCUGCCUGGGUGUCACGCAUCGCGUCGUCCCCCAACAUACUCUCCCUUUCUGGGUUGUCAUGUUGAUUGGGGACGGAGACUGGCCUCCCGUGCUUCUGGUGCGGUUGGCCUAAAUAGGAGGCCCCUUCGGUGGAUACACGGCUAGUGGUGGUUGUUAAGACCCUCGUAUUGUGCUGUGUGUUGUGAGCUGUUAGGGAAACCCUCACCAAAGACCCUAUUGUAUCGUCUUGGUACGAUGCUUCGACCGCGACCCCAGGUCAGGCGGGACUACCCGCUGAGUUUAAGCAUAUCAAUAAGCGGAGGA